AAGCCCUGAGGAGGAAGAGAAGUGGUCUUCUGUUACCUAUCCAUUCCAUCAGUGCCUGCAGCAGAGUGACAAUCUGCUCUGCUGAAGCCGCUGCCUCCUGUGCUGUCCCCCUGGCCGGAUGCAGGAACCCCAUUCCCACCCCGCCCAGCCUUUGCCUGUUUACACCAAUUCCUGAUCAGUGGUGGACUAGCCAUUUUGAGCUGUUAUUUCUGAAGGACAUUUUUCGGUCUGAACUCUAGGUCUUACCAAAAGGUGGCAACAAUAUGUCCCAUCGGCCAGUAUAGGUAAAUGGACUUGGAAGCAACAAUGUUGUCUGACCUGAAUGCAUCCACUUCAUCACCAAUCCACAGGUAAGCCAAUGGAAUGACAUGUUUUAUCUUAAAUUUCUUAUUUCUAUAAAGAGAAUCAAAUAUCUGUUAGUUUAAUUUGCAUUGUAGUUUGUGUUGUGGUAAAAUGACAUGUUUUAUCUUAAAUUUCUUAUUUCUAUAAAGAUAAUCAAAUAUCUGUUAGUUUAAUUUGCAUUGUAGUUGGUGUUGUGGUAAAACCAAGUUCUUCCUGCCCCAGAGCAAAAAAAGACACAUCCAUUGCUAAAACUAAGCACAGCGGCACUUACAGAAAGCCACCUGUAUCAAUAUUUCUUACCUGGAUUUAGUUAAGGAGUAACUAUUUUGCUUUGUUUUUUUCCCAUAAUACACAAAGGAAAUUAUUUCAAGAUUUUUUAUUUUAAUUCAUUACAUGGAAAAAUCUUUCCAGAAUAUAAACAAAAAUAUUGUUUGACUUAGUAAAAUUUUCUGUUGUCUACCUCCCUGUACUAAAAUAUUCAAUAACCUCAUUCCAGUAGCUCCUGUAGAAAACCCGCAAAUUAUAUAUCACACAAGUAACCAAAAAGGCGAUCCUUUUUUCCUUUAAUUUAGCCAAAUAAUUAGAAUAAUGUCUUCCUAUCAAGCAUUCUGGUAUUAUUAGAAGUGUUUUUAAGAAACAAUAAUCUUUGAAGCAUAAAUUUUCUCCUUUUGUCAUUCUUUUUCUGAGUAAUUUGCUCUUCGAGAAUUCUACAUUAAAAUACAAUGCAUUUGAUGAUUAUUUUUGUCACUUCCUCCUUCCAUUCUAUCUCCUGACAGAUCUCCCCACACUCAUGAUUUUUUUUGUAUUUUUUUAGUGAUGGAUGGUGCAUUUGCUGUGUAAACUUAGGUAUUGAACUUUCCUUCAGAUACUCGUGAACUAAUAUGUGGCUAGAUAACUGAGGAUAAUGACUCCCUCUCAAAUUCAGGGGACAGAAUAUCACAAGAAUAAAUCGUGGUUCAAAAAUCCUUUAUAUAAACCUUUAAUAUUCAAAACAUGGGAAGACUAAUUGAACUACAAAGAAAGAUUCCUCAGAUAAUCUAAUGUAACAUACUAUAGUUAAAAUACAAGCCAUCAUGCAACAUGUACUUCAAGAUAUACAUACACACGUCUCAAUAAUGAGAUGUUUAUAUUUACAUUUUAUAUUCACCAUUUAAACAUACACACACACACACACACAAACACACACACAUAUCUCUCAAAAUUCCCAAGAAAUGCUUGAACCUGAAACCUCUAAUUCCAAUGUCUGAUAAGAGAUAAUCUUCCUUGAAAAUGGAAAUAACAAUAAUCACUUCUUAUAAACUUGAUAAACUUCUUUCCAUAAUGUGAAUGAGAAUCUAAAAAUAGUUUUAAUUACAAUUGCAACAUGACAGAAGGGACCAUAUGUACUGCCUUUAAGAAACCAACCAUUUCUGUUUCCUUUAUUCUCAACACAAAGUUAAGUUUACUUCCUUCCAUCAACUACACUUAUAUGGCAAAUGAUCAGUUUAUUUCUUUUUACAUUUCUGAUGAGUUGAUUACUAUCUUUUAAAAUAAAAUGUGAAGAUUUCCCACUGUGGAAAGAAAGGGAGCUCUGUACCAAAAAAAAAAAAAAAA
rnacentral:sRNA from 1 species